rnacentral:ncRNA from 18 species
AACCUCCGCGUCGCCUCAGGUGCCCCCUGGCCUUGUGCCAGACGGGUGAAACAGGGAAGCCGGUCCAUUCUCACGAAGAUUCCGGCGCUGCCCCCGCAACGGUAGGCGAGUCGAGAAACCGCAACGGCCACUGUGCAUGACGCAUGGGAAGGCGCGGUUUCGGGAUGCCGCAAGGCAUACGCUCGCAAGCCCGGAGACCGGCCUGUCGCAUUUCACUGACA